rnacentral:miRNA from 12 species
CUCAUUGCAUGAGCUGUGUAUA